AUGUGCUCUGACAAGGAGUCCCUUGCUGUCGGAACCGAGCUGUUGGUGUUUGGGAUGGCACACAUUGUGUACAGAUAUAGCAUCCUAACCAAUUCAUGGACAAGGGCUGAUCCGAUGAACUCGCCGCGGUGCCUGUUCGGAUCGACAAGUGUCGGUGAAAAGGCAUAUGUUGCGGGGGGCAGCGAUUCUUGUGGAAGAAUACUUAGCUCCGCGGAGAUGUAUGACUUGGAGACACAUACUUGGACACCCCUUCCUUGCAUGAAUAAGACUAGGAAGUUGUGUUCUGGCACAUUCAUGGACGGGAAGUUCUAUGUGAUUGGUGGUGUUACCAACAACAACAAGGUGUUGGCAUGUGGUGAGGAAUAUGACUUGGAGCGGCGGUCUUGGAGGGUCAUCGACAACAUGUCCGAGGGCCUCGAUGGAAUGGCCGGUGCUCCUCCACUCAUUGCCGCUGUCAACAAUCAGCUUUAUGCAGCUGAUUACAGUGACAAGGAUGUGAAGAGAUAUGACAAGCUGAAUAAUAGGUGGAUCACUCUUGGGAAAUUGCCUGAACAAUGCGUGUCAAACGAUUCUUGGGGCAUUGCUUUCAGAGCCUGUGGUGACCGGCUGAUUGUCAUUGGAGGUCCUAGGACUUAUACUGGUGGCACGAUUGAGAUUCAUUCAUGGAUCCCGGAUCAGCAACCACCUGGGUGGAAUUUGGUUGCUAAACGGUCAUCCAAGAGCUUCGUUUAUAACUUGGCCGUGAUGGGUUGCUGA
rnacentral:rRNA from 1 species